GAAGGAGGUGGAGAGCCAUGUACUAGAAAGGACGUGGAAGAUGCAAUGGCUUUGGUAAGGCUUAUACCGAUAUGGAUCACAUCGGUCAUCAGCACGAUUCCCUAUGCUCAAUACUCUACCUUCUUCACCAAGCAAGGCGUUACGGUAGACAGAAAAAUCUUGCCGGGUUUCGAAAUCCCUCCAGCUUCUUUCCAGUCAUUUAUCGGUGUGUCGAUUCUCAUCUCAGUUCCAACUUAUGAACGUGUAUUCCUCCCGUUAGCUAGAUACAUUACCAAAAAGCCUUCCGGGAUCACAAUGCUCCAGAGAAUCGGAGCUGGAAUGGUGCUCUCUAGCUUCAACAUGGUGGUGGCCGCGUUGGUAGAGACCAAACGGCUAGAGAUAGCUAAGGAGUACGGGCUUGUGGAUAGACCGGAUGCAACCGUGCCAAUGUCUAUAUGGUGGUUCGUUCCUCAGUAUAUAUUGCUCGGGAUGAUUGAUGUGUUCUCGCUAGUGGGUACACAAGAGUUCUUCUACGACCAAGUUCCAACGGAGCUAAGGAGCAUUGGUCUUGCGCUCUCUUUGAGUGCGAUGGGUCUUUCGAGCUUCUUGAGUGGUUUCCUCAUCACUGUGAUUAAUUGGGUUACGGGAAAAGAUGGCGGUGAUAGCUGGUUCAACACUAACUUAAACCGAGCUCAUGUCGAUUACUUCUACUGGUUGCUCGCCGCUUUCACCGCCGUUGGAUUCUUGGCGUUUUUGUUCUUCUCCAGGUUGUAUAUGUACCGCCGGGUAGACCAAGUCUAAGAACAAGAAAAGUCAAGUUGUAUCGAAAAUUCAUUGUUCAUUUGUAAUUUAAACUGAUUACUGUAAAUUUUUUGAAAGUGAGCUCGGAUCAUAAGCUGGAUCAGUUAUACGAUCAUGAAAAGGCAACCAACAUGAGAAACUUUUCAAUAGGCUUACGUGCAUUGCAAGCUAUAUGAGUACUAUACAAUAUAACCAUAAGGAUCCCAAAAAGGCGACCGAUAUGACUAAUCCGAUCAUGAAUCAAGAUGGGAAAGUAAUAUUGGUGUGAUGAAAGUGUAUUUAAAUAUUAACAAUAGUACCUGCGAUAUUAUUUUACUCGAGAUUUGGGUUUAAAGGGUGUUGAGCCUCUUAGAGAUGUAGGACUUUGAAAAAUACAAGUAGGAGGCGAAGCCAAUGAUGCUGGAACAAGAAAAGUAAUCCAGAUGAGCCUGAGCCAACCCCACGCUCCUCAGCUCACUCGGGACCUGGUCUUAGAAGAACCACACAGGUUUGCGUCCAUCUUUGUGCUAGUGCCACUACAUAUCUAGAGAUCAAAAGAUUAUAUAAAGUAUAACUCACUUUUAUUAUUGUUUAAGAAAAUAACUCAAAACUUAAGCUCAAUCUCUAAUCUCUUAAAGCUAUGCAACACACUUGCAUCUUCUUAUAUAGAGAUUUAUAAUUCCUAAUCCUAAUAGGUAAUACUUUUAGAUAACUCCUAAAUAUCUAGAUAACUCCUAAACAUACAACUCUCUGUAAUGGGGAGUAGGCAUGUUCUUUCGAAGGCCCUGCAAAAAAAAUUAAUCUUUGAAGUUAAUAUCAACAGUAUUAACAAGUUCUAUGAUUAACAAUUUCUAUAAAUCUAGCUAAAUUCCCUACGUUAACCACCUAAUCAACACUCAUUAACAUAAAAUCCGUAAACCAAUCUAAAUUCCUUACACUAACCACCUAAUAUAUCCUAAACUAAUCAAAUUAGAGAGGAAUUAGAGAGAGUUACCAUUGCUACGAAAUAGAGAGGAAGUGGAGAGGAAGUUGAGACGAAAUGAAAGUGUGAGCGCUCGCGAGUAUAUAUAAGAGAUUAGAUAUCCUCGUAAUUUCCUCGUAUAUUUACGAGGAAUUACAAAGGCCCGCGUUUUGUUUCCUCGUAAAGCCCACGUUAAAUUACGAGAAAAUAGCAAGGCCCAUGUUUUUAUUUUACGAGGAAAUAGCAAGGCCCGCGUUUUCCAGUUACUAGGUCUUUACGAUGAUUUCUGCUUACGUGGAAUUAACGAGUCCCGCGUUCUUUAUUUUUUAAUUUCGUCGUUAUUUCCCCAUUAUUUUACGAGGAAAUUACGAGGAUUAUGUUUAAAUCCCUAAAAUCCGAAACCCCAAACCCCAUCUUCCUUAUCUUCUACUUCAUAUAUUCCAAACCCCAAACCCAUCUUCCCUUUAACGAGGAACUCGUGAGGUCCGUGUUUGGUUUCCUCGUAACGUCCUCGUUCAUUUACAAGGAAUUAGCGAGGCCUGCUUUUUUAUUUACGAGAAAUGAGACGAAGCUAAUUGGUCGUAAAACCUUUCAAAAUUUCCUAAAAAUACUCACCAGUUUGCUUCUCAAAUCAAAGAUAAACUCACCAAUUUGCUUCUCAAAUCAGAGAUAAUUACUCACCAGUUUGCUUCUCAAAUUAGAAAGAUUUGAAAAAAAAAGAAGGAGAAGAAAGACACUGGAACACAUGUGGGCGGAGACAAGGCUAGACUUACGUAGGAUUCGCCUUGUUUCUUCCCACCUGUGAUUCCAGUAUCUUUCUUCUCUUUUUUUUCAAAUAUUACAACGGUAGUCCCUAAUUGGUCGUUAAGAGAGGAAAUAGAUUCCACGAUUCUGAUCAGCACCUUCUCAAUGGGUUGCUUCGUGACUUCACUCAGUAGUUCUUGUAACCAUAUGGCCUGCUUUGCAGCCUCUGUUCCAGCCAUAAAUUCUGCUUCACAUGAAGAAAGGGCAACUGUAUCUUGCUUACUUGAGUUCCACGUGAUGAGACUUUUGCCGAGAUAGAAAAUGUGACCUCCAGUGCUUCUCCCAUCAUCUAUGUCCACGUUGUGGCUGCUAUCACUGUAACCAAUAAGCUUAGGAAUCCCUGGUGUUGAACGUUCAAACACAAGACCAAGUGAUGUUGUUCCUUGAAGAUAUCUGAUUCUUCUCCACUGAUGAUUCGUCCUCGAAGUGUAACUUUGAUCACAGCUAACCAAUUUAUUCCCGAUUCUCUCAUUUAAGAAAAUAACUCAAAACUUAAGCUCAAUCUCUAAUCUCUUAAAGCUAUGCAACACACUUGCAUCUUCUUAUAUAGAGAUUUAUAAUUCCUAAUCCUAAUAGGUAAUACUUUUAGAUAACUCCUAAAUAUCUAGAUAACUCCUAAACAUUAAUAUUCCUAUUUUUCCAUAAUUCGGUAGGAUUAGGUAGAUAACUUCUAACUCAAGUUUCCUUUUCUUUCAAGCUUAAUCCAACAGUCUCCCCCUUAAGCUUGAAACCAGGGGUCGAACCAUUCACAUUUGAAGAGUUAGGAAUUUACGACGAAAUUUAGUUAGGUUGCCGGAAAAAAAACGUGUUACAACUACAAAGUUGGUGGAUUCAAAAUUUCCUCGCUAAGUAGACGUAAAAUAUUUCCUCGUAAAGUACACGCUACAUUUACGUCGACUUUACGAGGAAAGCGUAUAAAAGCCACGUGACAUUACAUCGACUUUACGGCGAAAUGAUUUCGUCGUUAUUUUACGAAGAAAUAACGUUGAUUUUAUAUUUCCUCGUAAGUUCCUCGUAAAGUCGACGUAAAUUUACGAGGAUUUGUUUUUCUCGUUAAGUUUCCUCGCUAAACUUGUAUUUUCUUGCAGUGUAAAUACGAUUUUUGGUAUUGAAUAAAUUUACAUUCAGUUAAAAAGUUCUGAACAAAAUCAUGUUUACCUCAUUCUGAAUAAUUAGAUUUUUUGUUUCAAAAUAUCUGUUAUUAGUUUUAGAAUAUUUAUAAAUAUUAGUUUAAUUUCACGUUAAACUUGAACAUAUUUGUAAAUGCUUUUAAAUUACAAAAUACAAAUGUAAGUAUAAAACCAAUAACACCUUAUAUAUUUGGGGAUCGUUAUUACAGGGACUAGGACUAUUGACCUUGUCGGCUUUCUUAAUCACAAUAAGAAUAUCAGAGCAACGAAACGAUUCAGUUAAAACGUUUUUCUGGGUGAAUAUACUUUUCUUCUGCUCUCUCUAUAUGGUGGCGAUCGGACAAGGCGGCCACAAACCGUGUGUUCAAGCGUUUGGUGCUGAUCAAUUCGACUCGAGAGAUUCAAAGGGGAGAAUAUCUAGAGGAUCGUUUUUCAACUGGUGGUUCAUGACUUUAUCCGCCGGAAUCACUUUAUCUUUUCUUGUGGUGGUUUACGUUCAAGACAAUAUAAGCUGGGCGCUUGGGUUUGGGAUCCCAUGUCUGUUCAUGGUUAUGGCUCUAGCUCUCUUCUUGCUCGGAAGAAAAACUUACAGAUACCCAAAAGAAGAUUACAAGGAGAAGAACGCUUUGGCAAGAAUCGGUAGAGUGUUCGUCACGGCUUACAAGAACCGAAAACUGAAUUUAGCUGAUCCGGGUUUGGGGGAAAGUCUAUUGGAGGAUGGUUCGUCUCAGAAAUGUAGAGGCUGGCUUGAGUAAGUUGCAUAAGUUUCUAAUUGAAUCUUUGUUUUUUGAGUUUGACCUAUAAUUUUGAGUGUGAAUGCCUUUCAUUUUGACCUAAAGGUGCUUAGGGAAAGCGUUACUACCAGGAGAAGGAGGUGGAGAGCCAUGUACUAGAAAGGACGUGGAAGAUGCAAUGGCUUUGGUAAGGCUUAUACCGAUAUGGAUCACAUCGGUCAUCAGCACGAUUCCCUAUGCUCAAUACUCUACCUUCUUCACCAAGCAAGGCGUUACGGUAGACAGAAAAAUCUUGCCGGGUUUCGAAAUCCCUCCAGCUUCUUUCCAGUCAUUUAUCGGUGUGUCGAUUCUCAUCUCAGUU
rnacentral:lncRNA from 1 species